UAUGCGGGGACGCGGGUAAGAGCUAGCUGGCUUCCUGUCCUUCAUAAUGCACCCACACCCAAACGACCCCCUGGGGGAGCCCCAAGCUUGCUCGAGAACCCAAAGCACCAGUGAACAGAACCACCUUCCCUGCCACUACGAGAGAGCGGAGGGGUGUUCCAGCACAGCCCCACCCUAGGCGUUAGGCUCCGGUCAGGGCCCACCCGAGUUGGGACUGCGCUAGCCUAGCCUGGAUGGCUGGGCCUUCUUCCUGCCAGUGGCCCAGGCACACGCAGCCUGCACCAUCCGGAUAUAGCCGCCCCAAAGUUAGGAGCCUUGUGAAACACCCACAGAACCAGGACUGAUGGGAGCGGCCUGGGGGAAGAGGUCCAGCGAGGGCAGCACUGACCCCAUCCCUCCACAAAGCCUGGCCCUGGUCACCGAUGCGACGGAUACCUGACCCACGCCGCAAUGUCGCUCACCCGGGGAAGGGAUGGAAAAGUAUUCUUUGGAGAAUAAUUAUCACGAGGACCCCCACCCCAGGCGCGAAACCUGGAGAAUGCGCCCAUUGUCUUCUCCAGGCCUCUCCCGCAGACCCCGCGGAGGUCCCCGCGAAACUGACCAGAAAUGGAUGAAGCCUGGGUGCGGCGGAAACAGAAGCCGGCGGCUAGCGGCUGGAAGGCGCGGGCCUUGGCGAGCGCUGCUCAGCUUCGAGCCUGGAAAAACCUCCCACUCACUAACAAACCCCUCAAACACCGAGGCACAGACUGGCCUCCGGACAGAGCAGCCGCCGAUCGGGCUCCGUCUGCCCAUCCAAGCCAACGCUGGCUUCCGAAUACAUCAUAAUUUGGAAUUAAAUGUGAAAUCCCUCUCCCCGCCCCCUUGCCGCCUCCUCAACUUGCAGCUCCAUCUCCUGCUCGUCCUCCCCUCCACCCCCCAGCGAUAUGCAAAAUGCACUUCUAAAGGACACAAGCACACAGGCACACAACCCAGUUCGGACAGGACCACACACGGUCCAGCCCCAUAGAAGGGAAGCAAAGUAAACACAACCCCACACUGCCCCACAAGCCGACAUGGUCAGGCUCGCACAAUGUCCUACACGAUACAACGAAAUCAGUCCCACGAGAUCGCUCACGGACACACAUCUAACGUAGUCAGGAUCACACACGCCCGACACAACAACGAAACCACCCAAAUACAGUCGCAGAGGCCACACAACCCAACACGCAGAGCCAGACCCGUGUCGAGAAGGAAAAACGAGCAUAAUUGUAUACAACGAUGAAAACGCAGAAGGGCUCGAGGAAUCCAAAGCAACAACCCAAAGAGCGCGGACACCAUCACACUCGGACACACAACCCUUCUGGAAGACCACACUCGGAAGAAGUCAGCAUCGCCGACGGCUCACACACGCAUUCACAACCCCACCGCAUGCAAACAACCACCAAGAAGAAAUGAAAACCAACCACCGCCUCGCGCAUUUCUGUAUAUUGCGUAAGGAAAAAGGGGAAGGAAGGAAGAGAGUCUCCGAGGCGGGAGGGGCGGCGGCGGCGAGCGGAGGGCGUCCGUGGAAAAUGCCCCCCAUCGAAAGAAACCCAGGGAAAAGGAGCGAAGACCUCUUCUGCGAGCGGGGAGAAGGAGAGAGGAACUGAUGGGGAAUUCCGCGGGAGGCCGCAGGUUGCUUUCCCCUAGAAAAAGGCCAGAAUGCUCACGUUUUGCCGCUACGGGGGGAUGCGUGUGGCCAUUUUGAGACCUGGUCCUUAGCGCGGAGGCCCACCCCCGCCCCCGUCCCCGUCCCCGUCCCCCCCGCGCGCCCAGGCUCCUCCAGCGACGCGCGCUAAUCCCGCUCACGUUCUGGGCCUCGUUAGCAUGGGCCGAGGCGCGCCGGGGCCGUGUGCGCCGCCGAGAUAAGGCACUGCCGCGGGUCCGCUCGCCCCCGAUAAGCGCCUCGGCCAUUAUGGGCCAAAUGAUUCAUUUUAAUUUGGCAAUUUCACCGGAGGGAGUGGGGACUGGUUGUGCGGCGCUGGGACCGGCUCCGGAAUGCGCCACGGCGAGAGUUGGGCGCGCAGUCUAGACUCCGUGAGUCCAGCCCCAUUUCUGAUCCCGAAGCCUCUCGGGAACCCGGGCACCCCACAACCUCAGUCCCUCGGCCUGCCUGACACCUUUCUUAAGCGACUCUCAUCCCAGAAUUCCGUCGCUGCCUCUGACACCCAAACCAUCACUCCGGACCCUUCCCUGGCGGUGUUCAUUCUUUUUCCAGUGUCCUAAACACCCGCGUUUCAAUGGGCAGUUUCUCAUCCCAAAAAGCGCCCCAGGUCCCCCCUGCCCCACCCCGCAGCCCCUUCAGCCCUGGCUAUUUUCUGCUCUAACAUGGAGCAUGCUUGCCUCCAGUGUCGUAGACCGAGCUCACAUUCAGCGGCUCUGUGGAGGACGACUGGUGUCAACAGAGCGAUUUAAAUGUCCCUUCUGUUGAGUUUCAGGCUGAGCCCCUAGCCUGAGAACGUCCCUACCCCCAUUAUAUUUUAAACAUUUUAAUGUUGCUACUGAAGAACCGUUCUAAGCACUCUAUAAAUACAGAUUCCUUUCCUUCUCAUAAACAAUCCUAAGAAGCUAGUGCUAUUAUUAUCCUCCAUUUACAGAUGAGGAAACUGUGGCGCAGAGAGUCAAAGAAACUUUACUGAAGUGACAGAUCUAGCAGUGGUGACAACAAUAAUCUCUGGAAACUCACCAGCCCAGAGCCCAGGACGACAUCAUAUGCAUGUGCAUGGGAUUCUGGUUAUUGUCAUAGAGGAGAAAAUUAAGGCACAGAGACAUAACUUGGACAAAGCUCGCAGUGACCCCAGGAAAAGCUGAGACCCAAACUCAAGUAUCCAGUUCCCAGUCCACAAGUCUACCCAUCAUGCCAGGAUGCUUGGUCCUUACAGCAGCUCUGGCUUGGAGCCUAAGAACUAGGGGAAAGCCCCCUCACCUGGUUCCAGAUGGAGUCCCAGUCAAGGAUGGAGCCCAGAGUGUGGUCACAGACUGAGCACUGGCCUCUCCUUGCCACCAGGAUGACUCUCUGUGAAGAUACGGUUAAUUCAGCUCAGGCUGUCCAUUCUGAUCCUCUUGUGCUCUCCGGUGGAAAUCAGCGUGCCCUGUGGAUACAGAUUGAGAUCCUACGUGGCAAGUUUGUCCUGUUAAUCACCGUAUGCUCAGCGUCUAGUUCAGUGCCCAGCAGAAUCAACACUGGAUACCUGUUGAGUGAUUAGGAGUAAAACAGGUGCUGGUGGGGAGAGGAAGAAUGGAGGAAGAAGCUGUUGCUGGGCUGGACGCUAUGGAAGAACACAUGGCUGAUGUCCUCGUUGUUAACUAAAAAUGUAUGACCUUGGCCAGUUGUACCUCAUCUGUGUCUUUCUCAUUAUGUGUAAAAAGGGGCUAAUGAUGCCUGCCAUACAUAUUUCGAUCUGGUUUUGGAUGUGAGGAUUAUAUGAGGAAGUAGGUCAGAAAGCACUCUGAAAAGCGUGAGGCAGUCUGCAACCCUAAGACACUACCAUUAAAUUUAUUUUGCAGGCACAAAGCCCUCUCACUUAAUCUAGGGGCCAGGAAAGGUUCUGCCCUCAUAACAUCUCGAAAAUAAAAGCACAGAAAAUUCUUUGGUUCCUCUAAUUUUCUGGAGCCCGUACGGUAGACGGUUGACUGCCACGAUGUAAAAUCAUGGAAGUGAACUCUUUAACCCUGACAGAGCUGGGGUUGUCUAUGUCAGGACUGUUGAGUAAAAAAUAGGAAUUUCUGGUCUUGGCUAAAGGGCCAGGGGACUCCUUCCUGGGGCCAAAUAAGGCAUGGCAGCUUGGAGGACAGCAUAGACUCAAAAGAGCAUUGACUGCACUAUUCAGAAUCAUUCAUUCGGUCAAGAUGUUUCUUGUAGGAAGCUCUUCCAAAACUCCUCAGGCCUCAGAGAAGUUAUAUUUCUCAGUGGCUUAGUAAGAGCUUGCAUCUCUGCUAGCAACUUACUUGGGUAAAUUAUCUCCCUCAGGUCUCAUCUACGAGAAUGGCAAUCACCAGCUCGGGUCAGCCAGGACGCUUAAAUGACCCGAUCAAUGCACAUGGAGUACUUUGCAUAGCACCCGUGAACGCGUGAGUCCUAAAAAGAUGGAAGUGGUCAUGAUGAUCCUUCUGUGGCUCCUUACAGGCUGGAUCCCUCCUUUCCAUUUUUCAUCUGUCUCAUACUGUGGUAUGACUGUUUCCAGGGUGUAUCUGUUUUCCUUAGAGUUCUUAACAGCUGGCAAAAGGCAAGGUUAAUGUCUAACAUGUCUGCCUCUACUCCUGUGCAGCUUAGCACGGUAAGGGUGAGGCAGAGGACAAGUGAGGAUAGAGUUACAAGGCAGCAAAGGGUUCGGAGGCUGAGAGAGGGGACGUCUGGUGAGAACAGAGGUGACAACUGGCUAGGACCUAGACGAAUGGGUUUGUCUUCCAGAAGCUGAGUAAUGGAAGCUCCAUCAUUUCCUUAUUCCAUUUGCAGUAGCACCCAUGUGUCUGUAAAUGGCACACUGCGGGGCCGACGAAAGAAAAAAUUCAGACAGAUAUCACUUGAGAGGCAAUCAUAUCCAAAGUCUUUAAAUCCAAUUUUUCCAGUACUCAUGCCUUGCCCAAAGAUGCCUGAAAGCUACCAUAGCAACGAGUUUACCAACUAACUUCCCACAGUUAAACUUUUUUUUUUUUUGAGAGACAGAAAGUGUGAGUGUAAGAGCUUGCGGGCAGCAGCGGGGAGGAGG